CUCCUACGGGGGGCAGCAGUGAGGAAUAUUGGUCAAUGGGCGGAAGCCUGAACCAGCCAAGUCGCGUGAGGGAAUAAGGCCCUACGGGUCGUAAACCUCUUUUGCCGGGGAGCAAGGGCGGGGACGUGUCCUGGCCCGGAGAGUACCCGGAGAAAAAGCAUCGGCUAACUCCGUGCCAGCAGCCGCGGUAAUACGGAGGAUGCGAGCGUUAUCCGGAUUUAUUGGGUUUAAAGGGUGCGGAGGCGGAUUGAUAAGUUAGAGGUGAAAUGUCCGAGCUCAACUCGGGAACUGCGUCGAA
rnacentral:rRNA from 1 species